UUGAGUCAAAGAAUAAUUAUUUUAAAUAUUUAUUUAGGAUAAGAUUGAAUUUAUAUAUAAUUAUUAAACGAGUCUGAAGUGAGACACGCGUCGGACCAUGUGUUGGCCGAUGAACGGCGUCGGCUCCCUAUAAAUAGGGAGAGCGAUCAAUUUGGAGAAGGGGAACGAAAGAAGAAAAGGAAAAAGAAGGAAGGAAAGGAAAGAAUGGAAAAAAAUAAGUAGAAACUGAAAGGUCUUUGAUAGUGGAAAGAAAGAUUAAUGUAUUAAAGAUAAGGAAUCAAUGCACUUCAGAAAUAGCUUUUUGGAAAGUCGGGUUACGGAAUAGACACACAGUAUUUCUUUAUGAUAUAUUUUUAUAUGUAAAUAUCGGCCUUUUUUGUCAGUAAAUUUUGUAAUAAAAAUAAAAACUCCAAUGAUUAUUUUGGUACCCUCAUUUAAAUAUUA